CUCUCCAUUAAUUCCUCCCUGGCAUGUUCAGGAUCUUGGCCUCACUCCAGGCUCAGGCUUUUUCUCUGUCUUCAGCUUUCUUUUUGUUUUCAAAUUAUUUUUUAUCUAGAUCAAUUUUCCAUAAUGUUUUCAACUUAUCUAGCAUGAAUUGAAAUCUGGUCCCCAACUAUAAAUCUAUGUGAUGACAAUCUUCAAUAUAUGUCCAGACUCUAUGUGAAUAUGGAGGAUGAUAGAGAAAGGGAAGGCAGUACUGCUAGUCUAUAGGGCUAAAUGUAGAAUGGGCUGAGGAGGGGAGCUCAUGACAAUUUUCAUCUGCUGCUGCUUUUUUGGCCAUCUUAACUUCAUCGGUGAAGCUUAUUCCAGAUUCAAAGGUCAACUGCUUCCAACUAAACCUUUGAAUUCAUCAUUCUUCUCAUAGACAUUUUGCACUGUAUUAAAGAGAUCCUCAACAUUUUCCGCUUCCCAAGUCAGCAUCACUUUCAGAGUUUUGUCUCCAGUGUGAGAACAGACAAAUACACCAGUCCCUGGACUGAUACCUGAAAAAAGAGGAGAUAAGCAAGAAGGCUCACCAGAUUCUCGUACUUUGGUAUUAAACUAGGCGUCCAGGAUAUUAAGAAUUCAAGGAGAUUGGAACCACCUGGACCAUCUGGAUAUCCCACAGAAGACCACACUGACCCAUUAUUACACUGAUGAUAUCAUGCUGAUUGGGCAAGAGAAGCAAGAGGAAGGAAGGCCCACAGAAGUUGCUGUGUGAACAUGUGUGGAGAUGUGAAUCCAUAUAGCUCAAAGGGUGGACUGUGACACCUAUGAGAGCUACAAAUGAAGACUUAGGAGUGUUCAUCAAAUAAGGAGUUGCAAGAAGAACACAGAAACCAGAUUUAUUGUAUACAUGAAAAAAUAAAAAGUACUACUCAAGGAAAGUUUGAGCAUUUUUAUUCACUAAGUUCCAUUUCCUGGUGUUUCAUGCAUGCUAGGAAUUCUAAAUACUGUACUGUUGAAUGCUUGUUUGAAUAGCAAACGCAUUAGACAUGCAAUUUAACAUUUAAAAAAAGGUACAUUGUGCAUGAAUACUAAAGAAAGGCAUUUCUUUCAUUGUCUGAGAAGAAAAUGGAAAAUAAAUUGUGUGAUGUGCAAUUUGGGCUGCUAGAGAACUACUUUAGAUCUCUUACCUGGAAUAAUUUUUACUCUUACCUCAAAGUCAAUCACAGCAGGAUUUUCCUUCAC
rnacentral:lncRNA from 1 species